GAUUGAACGCUGGCGGCAUGCUUUACACAUGCAAGUCGAACGGUAACAGGCCUUCGGGUGCUGACGAGUGGCGAACGGGUGAGUAAUGCAUCGGAACGUGCCCAGAGGUGGGGGAUAACGCAGCGAAAGCUGUGCUAAUACCGCAUGUGAUCUGAGGAUGAAAGCGGGGGACCAGGCAGCAAUGUUUGGCCUCGCGCCUUUGGAGCGGCCGAUGUCAGAUUAGGUAGUUGGUGGGGUAAAGGCCUACCAAGCCGACGAUCUGUAGCUGGUCUGAGAGGACGACCAGCCACACUGGGACUGAGCAACGGCCCAGACUCCUACGGGAGGCAGCAGUGGGGAAUUUUGGACAAUGGGCGCAAGCCUGAUCCAGCAAUGCCGCGUGCGGGAAGAAGGCCUUCGGGUUGUAAACCGCUUUUGUACGGAACGAAAAGGCUCUGGCUAAUACCUGGGGCUGAUGACGGUACCGUAAGAAUAAGCACCGGCUAACUACGUG
rnacentral:rRNA from 1 species